UUGGGCAUGCGGCAGCUAUACAUGCAGUCGAGCGAACUGAUUAGAAGCUUGCUUCUAUGACGUUAGCGGCGGACGGGUGAGUAACACGUGGGCAACCUGCCUGUAAGACUGGGAUAACUUCGGGAAACCGAAGCUAAUACCGGAUAGGAUCUUCUCCUUCAUGGGAGAUGAUUGAAAGAUGGUUUCGGCUAUCACUUACAGAUGGGCCCGCGGUGCAUUAGCUAGUUGGUGAGGUAACGGCUCACCAAGGCAACGAUGCAUAGCCAACCUGAGAGGGUGAUCGGCCACACUGGGACUGAGACACGGCCCAGACUCCUACGGGAGGCAGCAGUAGGGAAUCUUCCGCAAUGGACGAAAGUCUGACGGAGCAACGCCGCGUGAGUGAUGAAGGCUUUCGGGUCGUAAAACUCUGUUGUUAGGGAAGAACAAGUACAAGAGUAACUGCUUGUACCUUGACGGUACCUAACCAGAAAGCCACGGCUAACUACGUGCCAGCAGCCGCGGUAAUACGUAGGUGGCAAGCGUUAUCCGGAAUUAUUGGGCGUAAAGCGCGCGCAGGCGGUUUCUUAAGUCUGAUGUGAAAGCCCACGGCUCAACCGUGGAGGGUCAUUGGAAACUGGGGAACUUGAGUGCAGAAAAGAAAAGCGGAAUUCCACGUGUAGCGGUGAAAUGCGUAGAGAUGUGGAGGAACACCAGUGGCGAAAGCGGCUUUUUGGUCUGUAACUGACGCUGAGGCGCGAAAGCGUGGGGAGCAAACAGGAUUAGAUACCCUGGUAGUCCACGCCGUAAACGAUGAGUGCUAAGUGUUAGAGGGUUUCCGCCCUUUAGUGCUGCAGCUAACGCAUUAAGCACUCCGCCCGGGGGAGUACGGUCGCAAGACUGAAACUCAAAGGAAUUGACGGGGGCCCGCACAAACCGGUGGAACAAGGUGGUUUAAUUUCGAAGCAACGCCGAAAAACCUUACCAGGGUCUUGACAUCCUUCUGACAACUCUUGAAAAAAAAGCGUUCCCCUUUCGGGGGACAAAAAUGAACAGGUGGGUGCAGGGGUGUUCCUCCACCUCCGUGCCCGAGAAAUUUUUGGGUUUAAAUUCCCCCCACCCGACG
rnacentral:rRNA from 1 species